rnacentral:rRNA from 1 species
GACGAACGCUGGCGGCGUGCUUAACACAUGCAAGUCGAACGGAAAGGCCCUGCUUUUGUGGGGUGCUCGAGUGGCGAACGGGUGAGUAACACGUGAGUAACCUGCCCUUGACUUUGGGAUAACUUCAGGAAACUGGGGCUAAUACCGGAUAGGAGCUCCUGCUGCAUGGGGGGGGUUGGAAAGUUUCGGCGGUUGGGGAUGGACGCGCGGCUUAUCAGCUUGUGGGUGGGGUAGUGGCUUACCAAGGCUUUGACGGGUAGCCGGCCUGAGAGGGUGACCGGCCACAUUGGGACUGAGAUACGGCCCAGACUCCUACGGGAGGCAGCAGUGGGGAAUAUUGCACAAUGGGCGGAGGCCUGAUGCAGCAACGCCGCGUGCGGGAUGACGGCCUUCGGGUGGUAACCCGCUUUAGCAUGUGACGAAGCGUGAGUGACGGUAAUGGGUAAAGAAGCACCGGCUAACUACGUG